GGGAAACUGCCUGAUGGAGGGGGAUAACUACUGGAAACGGUAGCUAAUACCGCAUAAUGUCGCAAGACCAAAGAGGGGGACCUUCGGGCCUCUUGCCAUCGGAUGUGCCCAGAUGGGAUUAGCUUGUUGGUGGGGUAACGGCUCACCAAGGCGACGAUCCCUAGCUGGUCUGAGAGGAUGACCAGCCACACUGGAACUGAGACACGGUCCAGACUCCUACGGGAGGCAGCAGUGGGGAAUAUUGCACAAUGGGCGCAAGCCUGAUGCAGCCAUGCCGCGUGUAUGAAGAAGGCCUUCGGGUUGUAAAGUACUUUCAGCGGGGAGGAAGGGAGUAAAGUUAAUACCUUUGCUCAUUGACGUUACCCGCAGAAGAAGCACCGGCUAACUCCGUGCCAGCAGCCGCGGUAAUACGGAGGGUGCAAGCGUUAAUCGGAAUUACUGGGCGUAAAGCGCACGCAGGCGGUUUGUUAAGUCAGAUGUGAAAUCCCCGGGCUCAACCUGGGAACUGCAUCUGAUACUGGCAAGCUUGAGUCUCGUAGAGGGGGGUAGAAUUCCAGGUGUAGCGGUGAAAUGCGUAGAGAUCUGGAGGAAUACCGGUGGCGAAGGCGGCCCCCUGGACGAAGACUGACGCUCAGGUGCGAAAGCGUGGGGAGCAAACAGGAUUAGAUACCCUGGUAGUCCACGCCGUAAACGAUGUCGACUUGGAGGUUGUGCCCUUGAGGCGUGGCUUCCGGAGCUAACGCGUUAAGUCGACCGCCUGGGGAGUACGGCCGCAAGGUUAAAACUCAAAUGAAUUGACGGGGGCCCGCACAAGCGGUGGAGCAUGUGGUUUAAUUCGAUGCAACGCGAAGAACCUUACCUGGUCUUGACAUCCACGGAAGUUUUCAGAGAUGAGAAUGUGCCUUCGGGAACCGUGAGACAGGUGCUGCAUGGCUGUCGUCAGCUCGUGUUGUGAAAUGUUGGGUUAAGUCCCGCAACGAGCGCAACCCUUAUCCUUUGUUGCCAGCGGUCCGGCCGGGAACUCAAAGGAGACUGCCAGUGAUAAACUGGAGGAAGGUGGGGACGACGUCAAGUCAUCAUGGCCCUUACGACCAGGGCUACACACGUGCUACAAUGGCGCAUACAAAGAGAAGCGACCUCGCGAGAGCAAGCGGACCUCAUAAAGUGCGUCGUAGUCCGGAUUGGAGUCUGCAACUCGACUCCAUGAAGUCGGAAUCGCUAGUAAUCGUGGAUCAGAAUGCCACGGUGAAUACGUUCCCGGGCCUUGUACACACCGCCCGUCACACCAUGGGAGUGGGUUGCAAAAGAAGUAGGUAGCUUAACCUUCGGGAGGGCGCUUACCACUUUGUGAUUCAUGACUGGGGUGAAGUCGUAACAAGGUAACCGUAGGGGAACCUGCGGUUGGAUCACCUCCUUACCUUAAAGAAGC
rnacentral:rRNA from 1 species